GGGAAGCGAGAUCAGAGAUGGAGCAAAUCCCAAAAAUAACGUCCCAGUUCGGACUGUAGUCUGCAACCCGACUACACGAAGCUGGAAUCGCUAGUAAUCGCGGAUCAGAAUGCCGCGGUGAAUACGUUCCCGGGUCUUGUACACACCGCCCGUCACACCAUGGGAGUCAGUAACGCCCGAAGUCAGUGACCUAACCGAAAGGGAGGAGCUGCCGAAGGCGGGACGGAUGACUGGGGUGAAGUCGUAACAAGGUAGC
rnacentral:rRNA from 1 species